AUUGAACGCUGGCGGCAUGCCUUACACAUGCAAGUCGAACGGUAACGGGCCUUCGGGUGCCGACGAGUGGCGAACGGGUGAGUAAUGUAUCGGAACGUACCUUUCAGUGGGGGAUAACGUAGCGAAAGUUACGCUAAUACCGCAUAUUCUGUGAGCAGGAAAGCAGGGGAUCGCAAGACCUUGCGCUGAUUGAGCGGCCGAUAUCAGAUUAGCUAGUUGGUGAGGUAAAGGCUCACCAAGGCGACGAUCUGUAGCGGGGUCUGAGAGGAUGAUCCGCCACACUGGAACUGAGACACGGUCCAGACUCCUACGGGAGGCAGCAGUGGGGAAUUUUGGACAAUGGGGGCAACCCUGAUCCAGCCAUGCCGCGUGAGUGAAGAAGGCCUUCGGGUUGUAAAGCUCUUUCGGCCGGGAAGAAAUCGUAUGGGUUAAUACCCUGUGCGGAUGACGGUACCGGCAUAAGAAGCACCGGCUAACUACGUG
rnacentral:rRNA from 1 species